GUGUAGUGACACUGAAGCAAGAGUGUAAGUGGUUGUUAGAGAAUAAUUAGCACUGAACGUGACUAACAUGAGAAGUCACAUGGAUGUCUGCUGACUUGUUAGAGACUAGUUCUAGAGGAUGCAAGCAAACAAGAUUAAUAACAAUGCAGCAGACAACCAGCAAACAAUGAUAACGGAGGUGAUUAUGUUAAAAUUGAGAAGAGAUUACUGUUAUGCAUGCAAAUAAUUCAAUCCCUUAGA
rnacentral:lncRNA from 1 species